ACCCACAUCUCUGCCCCUCUGCCCCGGAACCUUCUCUUCGGGCCUGGAAUUCGCUCUGCAGGCAGGAGAGACGCGCCGGAAGCGGUGACGCUGUGCUGGACGCCAGGGACCCCUCGGUCACCAGACCCAAGCCUGGCUCGGGAGAGGCAUAUGAGACCAAACUUCCUCCAUAAGGUGAGGAAGCUAACGUUCGGAGAGGUGACUCAUCCAAGGCCACACAGCUUGGGAGAAACGGAGGAUUUAACUGUGAGUUCUGCCCUUUUGAAACACCAGACUACCUCCCCCUGCCAGGCCAGCAGUGAUGGACAGGAGAUCCGUGACCUUUUGUCAGCACGGUGCCGUGGCUGAAGAGGAAGUCCAUUCCCUGCUCUGGUCUCCGGAAUGCCUGGACCACCUCCUGGACCUCCGUGCCUGCCUGUCUCUGCAUCUCCAUUGUUCCCAGCCUCGCGUCUGGCAGCCGACGUCCCCACGUCUCCACCACAUGUGAAGGCUGGAGCCCCAACAGCCAUUUUGGACCAUGAGGCAAAUAUGGGCGCCACAUACAGAGGUGAGUUGAACAGAAAGAAGGAGGCUGGGCCCCUGGGAUCUCUGCAGACCUGCUCUACCAGUUCUGGACCACCUGCCUCUGGCCUUCUUUUCUAGAAGAGAAUAAA